rnacentral:rRNA from 1 species
CUGGCGGCGUGCCUAACACAUGCAAGUCGAGCGGGGACACGGGGCUUCGGUCCCGUGUUCAGCGGCGGACGGGUGAGUAACGCGUGAGCAAUCUGUCCCAUUCACCGGGAUAACAACUGGAAACAGUUGCUAAUACCGGGCGAGACCACAGUGCCGCAUGGCACAGGGGUAGAAGGGAUACCGGAGUGGGGUGAGCUCGCGUCCCAUUAGGUAGUUGGUGAGGUAAGGGCCCCACCAAGCCGACGAUGGGUAGCCGACCUGAGAGGGUGAUCGGCCACACUGGAACUGAGACACGGUCCAGACUCCUACGGGAGGCAGCAGUGGGGAAUAUUGGGCAAUGGGCGCAAAGCCUGACCCAGCAACGCCGCGUGAGGGAAGAAGGUUUUCGGAUUGUAAACCUCUGUCGCAGAAGACGAAGGAAGUGACGGUAUUCUGUGAGGAAGCCCCGGCUAACUACGUGCCAGCCGCCGC